UGAUGGAAGGGAGAGGGACCAGCU
rnacentral:misc_RNA from 1 species